rnacentral:lncRNA from 1 species
AUAUUACCACUUCUGUGUUGCCAUGUCAACUAAUCAAAAACUGUGGCACGUUGUAAAGUUCAGUGAUGGUAACCUUGGAAUCAUAGCAGAGCCAUGGCUCCUGCCGGAUCGCCAAUCAUGUAAAUAUCCGAGGUCGGCGAAUGCCUAUGAAAGAAACCUAGUAACCGAGUCCUGUGCCUGCCCAAAGUUGAAAUGGCCUACCUAUCUAAUAACAAAAUUUUACCAGAGAAAUAUUUCCUCCCUGAACAUCGCCAAAGACUAUUUAAUGGAUCUGCAUUCAGACGCGAGUGACAAUAAUGUAUCACAAGCUGGGUCAAGUGCAAGUGCUAGUUCAUCGAACAAUAUAGGACCCAUCAUUUUGCCUCAAUUCCCCGGACAAAGUAAUCAACCUCCUGAGCAGCAGCCUGUAGAUCAACAACCAAUGCAAGUUGAACAGCCCAGACAGGAACACGUCAAUCAGCAACAAAACCAGGUUGAACAGCCCAGACAGGAACACGUCAAUCAGCAACAAAACCAGGUUGAACAGCCUAGACAGGAUGUCAAUCAGCAACAAAACCAGGUUGAACAACCUAGACAGGAUGUCAAUCAGCAACAAAACCAGGUUGAACAGCCUAGACAGGAUGUCAAUCAGCAACAAAACCAGGUUGAACAGCCUAGGCAGGGAGGUCCCAAUAAUCCACGGAACCAGUUUGAACAGCAAGGUGAUGAAGCAGUUGCUCUAGAAGCCGUUGUACCAGGAGGAGGAGUCAUUCAAGUUCCUGCUGCAGCAUUUAAAGGACUACUGCGGGCAUCAAUCGCAACAAAUCGAUAUUUAUCAACCUUGCAAAAUGGAGAUUCUUCAACUGGUCCCAGUGAGAGCCAGAAAAAACGUGCAGCUAUGUAUACUGAAAUGGAAAAUACCCUACUUAACUUGUGCCCCUUCAAGAACCUGGCAGAAUUUGAGUCUUUUGAUAAAAAAUUAAAGAAGAGUAAAACGCUGAGAGCUAAAUUUAGAGCAGAAUUGGAACUUCUAAAAUCAGCUGAUGCCAGGAAAACUUGUCAAGCUAUGAUAAUAAAAAUUAUGGCCGAUUCGGUUGCGGAAAAAUACUCAUUCGUUGGACAACCCAAUAGUAGGAUUGAAGAGGGAGGAAAGAAAAAGUCAUUCAAGGAUACAGUAGUUCAUAACUUAAUCUACCAAGUAACUAAUGCCCUUUUCCCAAAAGGUCAAAUGACAUCAGUCUCAUACAAAGAAGCUCUCCGAGCGUGGUUCUCUCAAGCAAAAUUCCGUAGGACUCGAAGGGAAAGAAGAGCUAUCCUUCGUCAGGCAAACGCUCCUCAAAUUGAUAAUGCGGAGCUGACAAGUGAGUCAGAACCAGAAUCUGAUUAAUGGUAUUGUGUUGAAGGCCAUCAGUUAAAAUAUAAUUCCUGGGAAAAAAUUUCCAUUCUGCACUUUCCUUUUGAAAUUUUCUGUGCAAUUUCUUUUUCACAUAGAAAUUGCAAAUUUGCAUUUCUCAUUGUUCCUUGCAUAUUCUUCUUGAGUUUCUAAAAAUUCUUGAAUUUGGUUGUUAAACAAUGUGCCAGGCUAUUCUCUAGUUUACAGGAUUUUUUUGGCUUUAAGACAUUCAGUCCAAUUUGUAUUGUAACUUCUUUUUUUUUUGUCUCUUCUUGAGUUUCUAAAAAUUCUUGAAUUUGGUUGUUAAACAAUGUGCCAGGCUAUUCUCUAGUUUACAGGUUUUUUUUGGCUUUAAGACAUUCAGUCCAAUUUGUAUUGUAACUUCUUUUUUUUUCGUCAAAGUUUUUUAUCAUGAGUGGUAAUGAUGGAUCUAUAUGACGUUAUUUGUUCAAAUUUUUCUUAAUGUGUUUUUAUUUCCUACAUAAUUAUUCAUUUUUUCUAGCUUUGAAGCUAAUUUUUCAUGGUACAUGAAUAUUAUUUCCUACAUAAUUAUUCAUUUUUUCUA